AUUCCAGCUCCAAUAGCGUAUAUUAAAGUUGUUGCAGUUAAAAAGCUCGUAGUCGGAUUUCUGAUCUUGGGAGGCGGUCCGCCGAGAGGUGUGCACUGUCUGCCGAGGUCUUUCCUCCCGGCGUCUGCGUGUGCUCUUAACUGAGUGUGCGUGUGGCUCGGGACCUUUACUUUGAAAAAAUUAGAGUGUUCAAAGCAGGCCUUCGCUUGAAUACAUUAGCAUGGAAUAAUGGAAUAGGACUUUGGUUCUAUUUUGUUGGUUCUAGGACCGAAGUAAUGAUUAAUAGGGAUGGUUGGGGGCAUUAGUAUUUAAUUGUCAGAGGUGAAAUUCUUAGAUUUAUGAAAGACUAACUACUGCGAAAGCAUUUGCCAAGGAUGUUUUCAUUG
rnacentral:rRNA from 1 species